rnacentral:rRNA from 1 species
AUGCAAGUCGAACGGUAACAGGUCUUCGGAUGCUGACGAGUGGCGAACGGGUGAGUAAUACAUCGGAACGUGCCUAGUAGUGGGGGAUAACUACUCGAAAGAGUGGCUAAUACCGCAUGAGAUCUACGGAUGAAAGCAGGGGAUCGCAAGACCUUGUGCUACUAGAGCGGCCGAUGGCAGAUUAGGUAGUUGGUGGGAUAAAAGCUUACCAAGCCGACGAUCUGUAGCUGGUCUGAGAGGACGAUCAGCCACACUGGGACUGAGACACGGCCCAGACUCCUACGGGAGGCAGCAGUGGGGAAUUUUGGACAAUGGGCGCAAGCCUGAUCCAGCAAUGCCGCGUGCAGGAUGAAGGCCUUCGGGUUGUAAACUGCUUUUGUACGGAACGAAAAGCCCUGGGUUAAUACCCUGGGGUCAUGACGGUACCGUAAGAAUAAGCACCGGCUAACUACGUGCCAGCAGCCGCGGUAAUACGUAGGGUGCGAGCGUUAAUCGGAAUUACUGGGCGUAAAGCGUGCGCAGGCGGUUUUGUAAGACAGAGGUGAAAUCCCCGGGCUCAACCUGGGAACUGCCUUUGUGACUGCAAGGCUAGAGUACGGCAGAGGGGGAUGGA